rnacentral:rRNA from 1 species
CCUACGGGAGGCUGCAGUGGGGAAUAUUGCACAAUGGGCGCAAGCCUGAUGCAGCCAUGCCGCGUGUGUGAAGAAGGCCUUCGGGUUGUAAAGCACUUUCAGCGGGGAGGAAGGCGGUGAGGUUAAUAACCUCAUCGAUUGACGUUACCCGCAGAAGAAGCACCGGCUAACUCCGUGCCAGCAGCCUCGGUAAUACGGAGGGUGCAAGCGUUAAUCGGAAUUACUGGGCGUAAAGCGCACGCAGGCGGUCUGUCAAGUCGGAUGUGAAAUCCCCGGGCUCAACCUGGGAACUGCAUUCGAAACUGGCAGGCUAGAGUCUUGUAGAGGGGGGUAGAAUUCCAGGUGUAGCGGUGAAAUGCGUAGAGAUCUGGAGGAAUACCGGUGGCGAAGGCGGCCCCCUGGACAAAGACUGACGCUCAGGUGCGAAAGCGUGGGGAGCAAACAGGAUUAGAUACCCUAGUAGUC